rnacentral:rRNA from 1 species
CCUACGGGGAGCAGCAGUAGGGAAUUUUCGGCAAUGGGGGGAACCCUGACCGAGCAACGCCGCGUGAACGAAGAAGUUAUUCGUAAUGUAAAGUUCUUUUAACAGGGAAGAAAGAGAAAUUUGACGGUACCUGAAGAAUAAGCUCCGGCUAAAUACGUGCCAGCAGCCGCGGUAAUACGUAGGGAGCGAGCGUUAUCCGGAAUUAUUGGGCGUAAAGGGUGCGUAGAUGGCAUAGUAAGUCUUUUGUAAAAAUGCUGGGCUCAACCCAGUAGGGCAAAAGAUACUGCAAAGCUAGAGUAUGACAGAGGCAAGUGGAACUACAUGUGUAGCGGUAAAAUGCGUAGAUAUAUGUAAGAACACCAGUGGCGAAGGCGGCUUGCUGGGUCGAUACUGACAUUGAGGCACGAAAGCGUGGGGAGCAAACAGGAUUAGAUACCCUAGUAGUC